ensembl:lncRNA
GGAUCCCCAGUUGAUGCCACCCUGACAGUUCCACCUCUUACUGCCUCCCUUCCAGCAUGAGUGACGCAAUGAGCACAGCUGAGUGAGCUAGCUGGAUGAGCUGGAGAAGAGCUGAAAGCAAGCAGGGGGAGGAGGGGAGAACAACCUCUCAAAACCACAACAAAUGUUUGCCAAAAUGGAGCGUGUAUACUUACCAAGGACUAAGUUACGGAUGCUGGGGAAGAGAGUUCUAGGAGAUGUCUAGCACAUCCAGCUAACUCAAAUGAGCUGCACCAUCUUACUCAGAGGCCUGUACUUUUCAGUAGCAGACCAGAUAUUCAGGCUUUUCAUUCCCUCCCUGGCUCUGCCCCUAGCUCUGACACAAAUCAAAUCUACAAAAGCGCACUGUCCUUACCUCAACUGUGUGCCAGCCUGGACAUGUUCAAAUGAAAACCUGGGCUACGCUGUGAUCUUUGCUCUUGCUACCACGAUACGUGCAGUGAAGAGGGAGAUUGCCUCAGAUACAUCUGGAAUACAGCAAUUCAAAGCAACCCCCUCUCAUCUUUGAUUUGAAUUUGCUGUGCUUUCCAUCAUCGCCAAAGGGGAGCUCCUACCUCUGACACACAGAUAGGCGUCUGCUGCAUGAGUUGGCUGAGCGCUGCAGCCUGCCCAUCUGGAACAUGGAUAAACUCCCCCAGCGACUGGAGGAGUGACUUCGCCCUUUACUUGGCGCAGUCCUCAAUUAAGACUCAGGGCCUCCCCCCAGACUGAGGCCCCCACCUCCAACCGGUCACACAGAGGCAGGCUGCUAAAUCGGCAGUUCGGCCGAGGAGCGAGCGGAGGCUUGCAGCAGCAUGGCUGCUUUCUCUGCACAUUCCUCUGGUGACGCUGCUCAUUACCCAGCAUGCAGAUAAGCCUGAGUCAAGGCUUUGGUAUGAGCGGCGCUGCCAGGAGCUGCGUGCUCGGAAUGGAGGUUACAGCCCGUGCCGAGGUGAAGCGCCCGCAGCCAGCUGUGCCCUGCCUGCCUCCCCUGCCUCCCACCGGACGCCCCUUCGCCCAUCUGCAGAAAAGGAGCUUUCCAACGCCUCCCCGCCACCGCACCGCUCGCCCAGGGAUCAUGCCCAUUGAGAAGCUCUCGGCCUAAUAGUAAUCCCGACGAAUUUAGCCGCUGCUAAUAAAUCCCACCCCUCCGCCCCUCCCAACCUGCCUCCAUGCAAAUCCAUUUGUAGGUUACUUGAACAAUAGCGGGGCUGUGAUCGGCCCUCCCUGCUGGCAGCCCGCAGGGAGGGAGGGGAGGAGGAUGAUGACAGCGGGGAAUUCUGCUCGGCUCCUUGAAGC